AUUGAACGCUGGCGGCAGGCCUAACACAUGCAAGUCGAGCGGAGCGGCGGACGGGUGAGUAAGGCCUAGGAAUCUGUCUGGUAGAGGGGGGUAACGUACGGCAACGGGCGAUAAUAAAGCAUACUAUCCGAUGAGCGUAGGUCGGAUUAGCUAGUUGGUGGGGUAAAGGCCUACCAAGGCAACGAUCCGUAACUGGUCUGAGAGGAUGAUCAGUCACACUGGAACUGAGACACGGUCCAGACUCCUACGGGAGGCAGCAGUGGGGAAUAUUGGACAAUGGGCGAAAGCCUGAUACAGCCAUGCCGCGUGUGUGAAGAAGGUCUUCGGAUUGUAAAGCACUUUAAGUUGGGAGGCGUUACCAACAGAAUAAGCACCGGCUAACUUCGUGCCAGCAGCGGCGGUAAUUC
rnacentral:rRNA from 1 species